CACGUAGGCGGAUUGGUAAGUCAGAUGUGAAAUCCCGGAGCUCAACUCCGGAACUGCAUUUGAUACUGCCAGUCUUGAGUGAGGUAGAGGGGGGUGGAAUUCCCGGUGUAGAGGUGAAAUUCGUAGAUAUCGGGAGGAACACCAGAGGCGAAGGCGACCCCCUGGGCCUCUACUGACGCUGAGGUGCGAAAGCGUGGGGAGCAAACAG
rnacentral:rRNA from 1 species